UUGCCCAAACCAGUGCAUUACAAACCAUGGGAAAAUGCAGUGAUAAAUGCAGUUAAAACUUACAACGCUGAAAAGGGGAGGGUUAACAAAGUGCCUAAGUUAAAAUUACUUCCGGGCGCACCUAAGCAGCCGGGUGGAGUUGAGUGUGGCUAUUAUGUUAUGCGGUACAUGAAGGAUAUUAU